CCUACGGGGUGCUGCAGUGGGGAAUAUUGGACAAUGGGCGAAAGCCUGAUCCAGCCAUGCCGCGUGUGUGAAGAAGGCCUUCGGGUUGUAAAGCACUUUCAGUGGGGAAGAAAGCCUUGGGGCUAAUACCCUCGAGGAAGGACAUCACCCACAGAAGAAGCACCGGCUAACUCCGUGCCAGCAGCCGCGGUAAUACGGAGGGUGCGAGGGUUAAUCGGAAUUACUGGGCGUAAAGCGCGCGUAGGCGGUCUGAUAAGCCGGUUGUGAAAGCCCCGGGCUCAACCUGGGAACGGCAUCCGGAACUGUCAGGCUAGAGUGCAGGAGAGGAAGGUAGAAUUCCCGGUGUAGCGGUGAAAUGCGUAGAGAUCGGGAGGAAUACCAGUGGCGAAGGCGGCCUUCUGGACUGACACUGACGCUGAGGUGCGAAAGCGUGGGUAGCAAACAGGAUUAGAUACCCUAGUAGUC
rnacentral:rRNA from 1 species